rnacentral:rRNA from 1 species
UGGGGAAUUUUGGACAAUGGGCGAAAGCCUGAUCCAGCAAUGCCGCGUGUGUGAAGAAGGCCUUCGGGUUGUAAAGCACUUUUGUCCGGAAAGAAAUCCUUGGCUCUAAUACAGUCGGGGGAUGACGGUACCGGAAGAAUAAGCACCGGCUAACUACGUGCCAGCAGCCGCGGUAAUACGUAGGGUGCAAGCGUUAAUCGGAAUUACUGGGCGUAAAGCGUGCGCAGGCGGUUUGCUAAGACCGAUGUGAAAUCCCCGGGCUCAACCUGGGAACUGCAUUGGUGACUGGCAGGCUAGAGUAUGGCAGAGGGGGGUAGAAUUCCACGUGUAGCAGUGAAAUGCGUAGAGAUGUGGAGGAAUACCGAUGGCGAAGGCAGCCCCCUGGGCCAAUACUGACGCUCAUGCACGAAAAGCGUGGGGGAGCAAACAGGAUUAGAUACCCUGGUAGUCCACGCCCUAAACGAUGUCAACUAGUUGUUGGGGAUUCAUUCCUUAGUAACGUAGCUAACGCGUGAAGUUGACCGCCUGGGGAGUACGGUCGCAAGAUUAAAACUUAAAUGAAUUGACGGGGUCAUAGCUGUUUCCU